rnacentral:tRNA from 1 species
GGCCCUUUCGUCUAGCGGCCUAGGACGUCGCCUUCUCAUGGCGAAAACACGGGUUCAAAUCCCGUAGGGGCUA